UUACUUUUUGGGAAGACUGAUUAAGAAACUUUAUUACAGAAAAUGAAUGCAUCCAACGUCUCCAAGUACAUUUGUGACAAGAACAGACACAAGGGAGACACAGACAAUAGUUGCUACAUUACAGCCUUGUUCUUUCCAAAAGAUAAAACAUUACUCAAGAACAGGGUAAGGGGGUUGGAAGAGUGUGUUUGAGAAAAAAAGUACUGUCCUUUUGACUUAAUAACAGGUUGGCAUUGCAAGAGGAUUGGUCCAGAAAUCAAGCUAAGCCUAACCUUUUGUGGUAACAUCAUGCCACUUAAAGCAUCUCAGAGAAGCUAGAGAACAACAUUCCACUGGGGCAUCUAGUGGCAGUGUGAAAACCUUAAGAGUAGUGGUCUUGUAACAAGCAACUGGAGUCUCUCUAUAACCAAGUCUGCUUAAUCAAACAUCAUUUAGCUAAAACCUACCCCCCACUUCUAUCUGGCUACUGAGGGAGCAUAAAAUCCACCCCCUUCCAUAGUUAGAAAACUACUUCCUUGGGAUUACAGGUUGAGCAUCUCUUCCAUAUCUGAUGAGGUUGGCCUGUACAUUGUGCAUUGUGCAGUAGUAGCAGUUUCAGUUUAGAAUGCCAAGUGACAAGGGCAUGGCUAAAGCAGGAUGAACAAUCCUGGAACAAGUGCCUCUGGGCAAACCUAAUGACCAAGGGUUUUUAAAUUAGUGAAAGAAUUAAAAAAAAACAUAUUUAGGACAAACAGUUCUGAUGGAGAGGGAAUGGUUAUGAAUGAAGAUCAGCUGUGACCAUGACUUGUACUCAUCUAGGACCUGACACAGUAGAGAAGACAGCUCCUUAGACAAGCAAGGUUCCAAAGAGUGAACUUUUAAGAAAAAGCUGCUUUCUUGUAAAAUACCAUACACACAAAGAAAAAAAGAAAAAAAUUUCUAUAUCCAAGUGUUAAUGCUAGGCAAUGCUGACACUUACCCACAACAGUAUUAUCAUUUGUUACUUCAAUGAAGUACAGAUAAUCCAUCCACUGAUAUUUAGUAUCACCAUUUGCCACUGUAGCAACCACCCCCAUCCUAUCCUGGGCAAAAUGUUAACACCAUUUACUAAUACAACCACUGAAACACAAACCAAGCUUCUUUCAGUUUAAGAACAUUGAACAACAAUCUACAUUUCUGCUGAAUAAGCUCAAAUCACAGGUAGGCCACUCUCUAUUUCAUGAUACACUUACUGCUUAGAAAUGUUGAUCCUAUUGGCCUGCUGAAGUGACCCAAGAUGGAACUUAAGAAACUUUCUUGGAAUGUCUGAUUUUUUGAAUGAGGAAAACAGGGCCAAAAUACGGAUAAUGUCCCCUACCCCACCCCAUCCCCCC
rnacentral:lncRNA from 1 species